GCGCUCAUAGCUUAAUUGGACUAAGCAACUCCCUUCUAAGGAGUAGAUUGGAGGUUCGAGUCCUCCUGAGCGCACCA
rnacentral:tRNA from 1 species